GACGAACGCUGGCGGCGUGCUUAACACAUGCAAGUCGAACGGAAAGGCCCUGCUUUUGUGGGGUGCUCGAGUGGCGAACGGGUGAGUAACACGUGAGUAACCUGCCCUUGACUUUGGGAUAACUUCAGGAAACUGGGGCUAAUACCGGAUAGGAGCUCCUGCUGCAUGGUGGGGGUUGGAAAGUUUCGGCGGUUGGGGAUGGACUCGCGGCUUAUCAGCUUGUUGGUGGGGUAGUGGCUUACCAAGGCUUUGACGGGUAGCCGGCCUGAGAGGGUGACCGGCCACAUUGGGACUGAGAUACGGCCCAGACUCCUACGGGAGGCAGAAGUGGGGAAUAUUGCACAAUGGGCGGAAGCCUGAUGCAGCAACGCCGCGUGCGGGAUGACGGCCUUCGGGUGGUAAACCGCUUUCGCCUGUGACGAAGCGUGAGUGACGGUAAUGGGUAAAGAAGCACCGGCUAACUACGUG
rnacentral:rRNA from 1 species